CUGGAGUUCUCAUGAACUGGAUUCUUGAAUGCAGCUUCUGGAGAUUUGAGCCACAUUAAGCAGAAACACCUUCCUCUUCUACUUCAAAAUGUGAAAACAUUUGGCAGGACAGCUCAGGCAAAAAUCAUAGGAAAUGGUGCCACCAGUCAUCUCAGAGGAUGCAGGAAGAAGGAAGAAGGUGAACAAAAGCCUCUCAGUUGCAUUGCAACCGCACACCAAUGGCAACAAAAAAAGAGCCUAAUGAACCUGCUGAAACGUAUGGCCCUAAUGAAGAUGAAAGUCUUUCUUCUUACCUAGAAACACACACACACAAAAGAAAUUAAAAAAGAAAUGACAAG